rnacentral:snoRNA from 7 species
ACGACCUUACUUGAACAGGAUCUGUUCUAUAAGAUGGUACCGUUGCAUCGCUGUCUCCAAUAUAAGGUUCUGUAUAUGGUUCAGCCUUAGGCU